UGCCAGCAGCCGCGGUAAAACCGGCGCCUCUAGUGGUAGUCGCUUUUAUUGGGCCUAAAACGUCCGUAGCCGGUCUGAUACAUUCGUGGGUAAAUCAACCAGCUUAACUGGUUGAAUUCUGCGAGGACGGUCAGACUUGGGACCGGGAGAGGUGUGGGGUACGCUCAGGGUAGGGGUAAAAUCCUGUCAUCCUGAGCGGACCACCUGUUGCGAAGGCGCCACACUAGAACGGAUCCGACACUGAGGAACGAAAGCAUGGGUAGCGAACAGGAUUAGAUA
rnacentral:rRNA from 1 species